rnacentral:snoRNA from 1 species
AAUACUGUACUUUCAGGGAUCAUUCUUAUAGUUCAUUAUUAGAGAAACUUGUCUGAAUGUGCAGAGUACAGAGUACUGGGAACCUUGAGGAGGAGACAACAUUCUCUCCUGAGCCUGAAGUCAGCUCUUCAUAUUGCUUUAGAGCAAUUGCCACUUGCCAUUGAUAAUUGUUCUUACUCCUUUUUGGGGGUGUGAGAGGGAGAGGAAGCAGUCUGAGUGGU